rnacentral:lncRNA from 1 species
GCUCUUGCUCUUGCUCCUUUGCCUGCUUGCUGCGUGAGACUGAGUAACUGCUAGAUCCUUGGACUUCCAUUCACAGCUGCGACUGAACAAUUGUUGGGAAUUCGGCUGCCGACUACAGGAGCCAAGCAUAACUGUCCUCUGAAAGGUUCCACCCAGCAACUGACUGAAACAGAUGUUGAGGCUCACAGAUUAACAUUGGAUGGAGCUUGGGGACUCUUAUGGAGGGCUUGGGGGAAGAAUUGAGGGCCCUGAAGGGAAAGAGAACUCCACAGGAAGACUAACAACAGAAUCAAUUAACCUGGACCCUUGGGGGCUCUCAGAGACUGACCAGCAAACAAAGAACAUACACAGGCUGGACCAAAUCCCCCACAUGUGUGGGAGAUUUGGUCUUCAUGUGGGUCCCCCAACAGCUGGAGCGAGACUGUCCCUAGAGAUGUUGCCUAUCUGUAGACUACAUCCCCCUAGCUGGGCUGCCUUGUCUAGCCUCAGUUGGAGAGGAUGCACCUGGCCCUGUGGAGAUUUCAUGUGCCAGUGUGGAGUGAUACCCAAGGGUGACCUCCACUCUCUCAGAGGAGAAGGGGAGGGAAGAUGGGGGCAGGGACUGUGUGAGGGGUGACCAGGAUGGAGGGAAGCAAUCGGGAUAUAAAGUGAAUUUUUAAAAACUAGUG